rnacentral:rRNA from 1 species
AUGAACCCACAAGCAAGCCCUGGCCCCGAUGGUUUCGGCCCCUCCUUCUAUAAAUCCUUCUGGCCCUCUAUCAAACAGGCAAUCCUCUCCCUUUUCACACAAUUUCACCAAGGUGUGGCAGACACGGAGCGCCUAAACCGUGCCCACAUUGCUCUCCUUUCAAAAUCUGCCUCCCCAACAUCACCUGACGCCUUCAGACCAAUAUCUUUGCAAAACUGCCCAGUGAAAGCUAUUGCCAAGGUCCUAACUUCACGUCUCAAACCUUUCAUCCCUCAUCUCGUCCAUGGUAAUCAGACUGGUUUCAUUACCGGAAGGAACAUUGCCGAAAACUAUGUCUUUGCAGCAGAUCUUAUCAGCACUUGUCACUCUUGCAAACGACCAACCAUGAUCUUCAAACUUGACUUCAGGAAGGCCUUCGAUUCAGUUGCUUGGAACGCCCUAGACAAAAUUCUGGCUGUCCAUGGUUUCUCCCAAACUUUUCGUAAUUGGAUUCAAAAUAUUCUCCAUACUGGCAAGACUGCCAUCCUCCUAAACGGCACUCCAGGUCGCUGGAUUCCAUGUAAGAAUGGUCUGCGCCAGGGAGACCCGGCCUCCCCCUACCCCUUCUUAAUUGUCGUCCAUCUGCUCCAGCAACUUAUCCUCCAGAACUCCGAUCCCGAUCUCCACCACCCCAUCUUUACCCACCUGCCCCCUACCAUUCUCCAAUACCACUAG